AGCAAUUGACGAAAGAGAGGAAUUGAUUCAGUGAAAAGUAGUUUCAAUUAGUAGCAAGAGGCAACAAAAAAAAGGAAGAAAAGGAAGGAACACCCUAGACAGGGCAAUCAACAAAAAUACUACGUAAAACAUCUAUGUUUCAGAAAUGUUUCCUGCACGCAAACGUUUCGGGGCCAUUUCUGUAAAUUGAAUAACUUGGAAACGCGUUUCCGCUCUCGAAAUAUGUUUCCAUAAACUCAAAAGCUCAUUUCUUAAUUAAAAUAAAUACAUAAAAAAAUUCAGAUUCAUAAAUCAUGUAUUUUUUAUGAGUACGAAACUUGUAAUUCUUUUGGAUACCAUUAAAUAUUGAUUGGACUUGACUUGUUAUUGAAUAUAUUUAAUGGUUUAUAAUAAUUUAUUUUUUUGUGUUUUAUAAAUAAAACCCUAUACUUUUCAUAUUUACACAUUUCCCCCACGUUUCCGUUUUCUAUAUUUUUAAAAAUACCAUUUCCCCGUGUCCAUUUCCGCGUUUCCACGCUUCCACGUUUCAGUUUCUGUGCAACAUAGUAUAACAUUUUUAUCUAGUUUAAAUUUCAACCAGGAAAAAAUUUAAAAAUAAAAAAACAACACACUGUUGAAAAUCCUAAAAAAAGAAAAUCAACAGCUUCUGGUUACAUCCUAUUUCCUCCAAUAUAUUCAACUAAGUUUAGACCCUUAUGCUAUUGACACUAUAUUGAAUUGUGGACAUGAAAAUAAAUUUUACCAUCUUAAUGAGAGGAUGAAGGAAUAUUUAACUCGAUUAAAUUUUAAUUUUAAAUCAAUUGAAACUGAUUGUAGAAAUCCAUUUCUUCUAAUUAUAUUUAUACUCGAUUAAAUGUUUGUGCUUCAUUUUGCAAUUUAUGUUUAAACGCUAGCAAUGAUAAAUGUUGAGAAUAUGGUGGAAUUUAAAAUUUCACGAGAAGGUUAAUGUAAUUGUCCUUUUAAUUUGGAAACAAAAUAAUUAAAUAAUUUUUAUUUUAGUAGGACUUGUAUUCGUAAGUGCAUUACAAAUAAUGCGAAAUAAUUGUUUUCACCAAUUUGGUAAAUUAAGGGGAAGACCACCUUCUGUUGGGUAGCCCGUAGUGUUAUUUCGGUCCAUAAAGACCUCCAAUGAAUUAAAAAAAGUAUGGCUUGUAAAUAAAACUUUGUUUAUGAAAUGAAAAGUAUUUAAUAAUAUUCUGAAACUUUUAUUUUAUUAUGACCAAUCAAAGCUAUAGAAUCUUACUAUUAUAAUUUUAAAACCUAACAAAAUUAUUGAUACCAUGUAAAUAUAGCAUAUAUAUUUAAUGGAAUUUAUGGACACUGUCAGACUCCAACCAGGAGGCAAUAUCCCCUUAAAAGAGCAACAGAAUAUGCUUGGCGCCAUCUAUUAGCUGUUAUAUAACACACUGUUGAAAAUCCUAAAAAAGAAAAUCAACAGCUUCUGGUUACAUCCUAUUUACUCCAAUAUAUUCAACUAAUCAAUUUGCUGAAGGAUAUCCAUACUUCUUGAUUUAGAUUUUGGAUGUCCUCAAUAAUAUUAACAUUUCAAUUCCGAAAUUACUUUUAGAA
rnacentral:lncRNA from 1 species